UUCCUGCCUAGAUUAACACAAAUCUUCAUACUAAAGUCCUACACACUUCAAUUUCUAUUGCUCUAAGCAAAUGUCUGGCUUUCAAUGACAAUAUAUAUGAUAUACCAAAAGAUAAGGAUAAUUUACGGAAAGAUAAAACAACCAUCAGAACAAGACACAGAUAUGACAAAGAUGAUGAAACUAUUUUAAAUAUUUUAAACAAUGUAUAACAAUGUUAGACACUCCAGCGGGAAAGGUGGACAUCAUCCAAUGCCAGGAGUGACUAGGAUGACAUGGAAUAGAACACAUGUUGGGGAAAUGUGUUUCAGAAUAUCUCACCAGUUUUUUAAGGGAAGAAACAGCUGCUUUUAGAGAUUUCUUAUGUCUAUUUAGCAAAGGAUGGAAAUGCUUUUACUGUCUCCAAAAUCUAUGUGGAUUUUGCCUCA